GUAGUCUGCCAUACGCAGGAAGACCCGCUGAACUGAAGCAUCUCAUUAAGCGGAGGAAAAGAAACUAACUAGGAUUCCCUUAGUAAAGGCGAUCGAAAAGGGAACAGCCCAACGUCUUAAUCCCGCAAGGGAAAUGUAGUCGGUUCACCUAUUGCACUGGUCUAAGUCAGAUGGAAUGCUGCGCGAUUCAGAGUAAAAGCCUCGUAUGACCAACCGCAAGCUUACGAUGGACCGGGGAGAGUCGGAUACUUUGAGAGUAGUGUCUUAAGGGGGUGGUAUGUCCCAUCCAAGGCUAAAUAACGUGAGGAGACCGAUAGAUUACAAGUAGUGUGAACGAAAGAUGAAAAGAACUCUAAAACAGAGGGUGAAAAGUUCCUGAACUUGCUUAGGGUUAAGGCUAUUUAUAGUACCCGUCUUGAACACGGAUUAGGGAGUUUAUCUGUAGUGCGAGUCUUUGCACGUUAACUGUAAAGGCGUAGAGAAAGCAACUGGCGUUUGCAUGGCUACUGAGCAUUACUGAUAGGACCCGAAAG
rfam:Trichomonas vaginalis G3, whole genome shotgun sequence.